UACGAAGGGGGCUAGCGUUGCUCGGAAUCACUGGGCGUAAAGCGCACGUAGGCGGCUUUUUAAGUCAGGGGUGAAAUCCUGGAGCUCAACUCCAGAACUGCCUUUGAUACUGAGAAUCUUGAGUACGGGAGAGGUGAGUGGAACUGCGAGUGUAGAGGUGAAAUUCGUAGAUAUUCGCAGGAACACCAGUGGCGAAGGCGGCUCACUGGCCCGUUACUGACGCUGAGGCACGAAAGCGUGGGGAGCAAACAGG
rnacentral:rRNA from 1 species